rnacentral:rRNA from 1 species
AUUGAACGCUGGCGGCAUGCCUUACACAUGCAAGUCGAACGGUAACAGGUCUUCGGAUGCUGACGAGUGGCGAACGGGUGAGUAAUACAUCGGAACGUGCCCGAGAGUGGGGGAUAACGAGGCGAAAGCUUUGCUAAUACCGCAUACGAUCUCAGGAUGAAAGCAGGGGACCGCAAGGCCUUGCGCUCACGGAGCGGCCGAUGGCAGAUUAGGUAGUUGGUGGGAUAAAAGCUUACCAAGCCGACGAUCUGUAGCUGGUCUGAGAGGACGACCAGCCACACUGGGACUGAGACACGGCCCAGACUCCUGCGGGAGGCAGCAGUGGGGAAUUUUGGACAAUGGGCGCAAGCCUGAUCCAGCCAUGCCGCGUGCAGGAUGAAGGCCUUCGGGUUGUAAACUGCUUUUGUACGGAACGAAAAGACUCUGGUUAAUACCUGGGGUCCAUGACGGUACCGUAAGAAUAAGCACCGGCUAACUACGUGCCAGCCGCCGCAGUAACAC